AGCGAACGCUGGCGGCAGGCCUAACACAUGCAAGUCGAACGAAGUCUUCGGACUUAGUGGCGGACGGGUGAGUAGCACGUGGGAACGUGCCUUUAGGUUCGGAAUAACUCAGGGAAACUUGUGCUAAUACCGAAUGUGCCCUUCGGGGGAAAGAUUUAUCGCCUCUAGAGCGGCCCGCGUCUGAUUAGCUAGUUGGUGAGGUAAAGGCUCACCAAGGCGACGAUCAGUAGCUGGUCUGAGAGGAUGAUCAGCCACAUUGGGACUGAGACACGGCCCAAACUCCUACGGGAGGCAGCAGUGGGGAAUCUUGCGCAAUGGGCGAAAGCCUGACGCAGCCAUGCCGCGUGAAUGAUGAAGGUCUUAGGAUUGUAAAAUUCUUUCACCGGGGACGAUAAUGACGGUACCCGGAGAAGAAGCCCCGGCUAACUUCGUGCCAGCCGCCGCGGUAA
rnacentral:rRNA from 1 species